CAUCUAACAGAUCGUAGCCCUCUGUGUUCUCUCAUCCUGCACAUUCUGAAGUCAAGCUGAUUCUGGUCCCCAUGUCAGAGCCACACAGACUGAGCCAAAAUAGCAAAUUUCUUCCUGUUUACAUAAAUUAAGGAUUGGGUCCUUGGUUUCCAGUCCAGCCGAGGAGGACUCAAUCACAGUGCAUUUCCAUUACCUGAAAUGGAGUCACUUUUGGUUUAGCCUGGUACGAGAUCAGAAUCAGACUCAUUAAAUUUAGCCUUCAAGCUGCCGUCUUUCAUGAGGCAACAUUUUCUCGGUGAAGAGCAAGAUGCAGAAACAAAACAGUGAGGGGCAGAUUGCAUCCUUUCUCUCCCACCCUUCUCUGUGAUAUGUUCACCUGGACGCUGAGAUCCAUAUAGGAGUCCAUUAUCAUUGAGUUUCCCAGUGGGGGAACACAAGAAAGGAGUCUGCAGUAGCUGUCAAUAUUGAAGAAUCAAAGCCAUGUAUGGUAAUGGAAAGCCAAACAUUUGAGGGAUGAUUUAUAGAAAAUGAAUUCUCUUCUCUGACAUUUUGGAUGCUUCUCAGUUGUACGAGGGGUGCUCAACUCAGCUCACAGCAGUUCCCACAUUCUUUAUAUAGGAGUUGAAGACCUAAAUAAUAGUUUUGAUGAUGAUCUGCAGAUGCUGACCUUGUAAUUCUCAUAUUCAGUGUUUAAAAAUGAGUGUCUGAGACUCAUCUCCCUGUUUCCCCGAACCAGAAAUUGCAUUAUUCUGUUCUGUCUUAAUAUUCAAAAUAUAAUGCUUGCAAAGACCACCCCAGUGAGGCAGGAUUUUGUACUUCUCUAUUAGAACCUUUCUCGUUCUACUUUGACAGCUGGUGUUGCAGGUAGGAUUCUUUGGCUCACGGCAUCUGGGCUGAGAAAUGUUUUCUCUCCUUGGACUCUCAGGCACUUCAGAAUAAUCCUUCAGAAACCAUUUAUCAGACCGAACACUGAAAUGUUUGGUAAAAUUUACAGCGAACCACCCUCCUUCUCAACCCACACAGUUGCCCCAGCCACACAGCAGAGCAGUUGUUAGCAAGUUGGUUAAUUGCCAGCGCUUUGCUGAUGUUUGCUAUUCUGAGCCAGGGCUAGUCAACUCCAUUCCUACUGAUAUGGAAAUGACCUUAAACCCUUCUUUGGAAUUAAAAUGGGAUUUGUUCUGAGGUUUACAAAUUUCUCAAGCAAUUAUUUUUUUCUCUGGUAACUGACUCUCAGUGUUUGUGCUGCUGCUUUCUGCUGGCAGAAGGAGGAAAAGGAGAGCUGUAUGGGUAAGGCACUGCCUGGCAGAGCAGAUGUGCUUCAGCCCCUGGCUCUGUCACAAAUCCCAGUCGUAGCACGAGGUGAGGUCUGUCAUCUCCCCAUGAGAACAGAGCAAUGGUACCUCACUUCUCAAUUUUUAAGAUGCGUUCAUUUAGAUUGGAAGGUCUUUUUGAGAAAGAUUGCUUCUGUAGGAUUGGAUAGAACAUAAACUUAUUAGCAUCAAGAAAGUUUAGGAUGACAUGAUGAUAGUCAGAAAGGUAGGCAGUGGAUGUGACAGAGAGAUAUCAAGCGAAAGGGUGCUUUUGCAACACUUCUGUCCCUAGAAUGAAACCAGAAACUUGAAAAAUCUUGUGAAACCACUUGUUCUCCAGAGCUUACUACUUGAACUUUUUGGACCAGUGGCAUUUCAAUUGUUUGGAUAAAGCUGGAGAAAUAUCAAAACUUUUGGGUGCUGACUGGAGACCUCCAAACUGUCUGAGGUUUCUCUACCACUGACAUAACCACGGUCUGUGGCUUUCAACAAUAACAUUUGUGCUGAUUUUAGCAAUUCAAAUCCAGAUGCAGCAACCAUGCCUGGCAAGACAGAUGAGCCGCAGACCGCUUCUAUCUAUCUGAAUGUGGAAUCUCUUUUGGUAACCAAUUUUCUGCCAGCACACACACCAAAUUCUCAUACAGCUUCCCUGGUGUGCUGGAGCACAGUCAGUACCAUGAAUGUCUGUGUGGAUAUAAACAAGCUUUUCUUUCAAGUACCUUACUUGCAUAUCUGGCUGAUGUGAAUGAUUGCAACAUGCAGCUGAGUGUGCUUUUGCAGGUUUUAUGGCAUUCAUUUUCUACAAGGAAGGAACGUCUCACUUGAAAAUGGGAAGUGCAAUAGGGAAAAGGAUCAUCUUCCAAAACUGUAUGUAGGAAAGCAUUUCAUAGAGUGAUGGCAAACAUGAUGUUUUAGAGGUGUGCAAGUAUCUAGGCUCACCUUGGGGAGCCUUGGGCUACUCCAAGGUGAGGUGCUCCCUGCAUCUGCAAGGACUGUGUGCUGACCAACGUCAGCCUCUACUGCCUAUCAAAGGCCUCAUCGUCCCACAGUCCAAGGGUCAGCAAUUGGCAGCAGGGCUGUUUGGAAGGGCAGAAGGCAAAUCUCAUCGGCAUAUCAGUAACUGCCUGCAGUCUUGGGAUGUGAGAGGAUAUUGAGAGCUGCCAGGGAAAGUAUAAUAAUAAUAGACUUAACUGAAGCUUUGAUUCAACUUUAUGAACAGGAGAGAGGCAAUUCACGUUGCUUACCCAGAAGCAGUGUUUGCACCUGGGACUUGAAGGGAAAUAUUCAAUUAGAAGUAUCACUUCACAAGGGAAAACUCUACCUGGAGUGAGAAAUGAAAUGUGAAAAUUCAGUGGGAGCUGGAUUUUCUUCAGGGAUGCUCAAUGGAGAGUUUGUUUUGGUAGCCAAGCUCCUAAUGGAAAGAUAACUUCAUCCUUAAAUCUCAAGUGAUUUCUGCCAAUUCAUAACAAUUUACACCUACAGGGCAUCAGCAAAUUAAGUCCAACUACAUCACUGUCAUGCAGCAACGUAUUGAGUACACUGAAGCAUGGAAAGGCUGGCUUACAGAAUGACAUAUGUUAAGGAAAAGAAAUAAAAUUCAAGAGUCCCAACUCCCAGUUGCCUGCUGUAAUCACUGUAUCUUGUUUUUUAAUCCUCUUCCACUGCUGGAAAUAAAUGAAUUAUUUAG
rnacentral:lncRNA from 7 species